CGCUAAGAAGCUAAACUGGGGACAGCGUUAGCCUUUUAAGCUAAAGAUCGGUGACUCCCACCCACCCUUAGCGA
rnacentral:tRNA from 1 species